UACGGAGGGGGGCUAGCGUUGUUCGGAAUUACUGGGCGUAAAGGGCGCGUAGGCGGUGCGAUAAGUCAGGCGUGAAAGGCCCGGGCUCAACCCGGGGACUGCGCUUGAUACUGUUGCGCUGUGAGUCCGGGGAGAGGAUGGCGGAAUUCCCAGUGUAGAGGUGAAAUUCGUAGAUAUUGGGAAGAACACCGGUGGCGAAGGCGGCCAUCUGGACCGGCACUGACGCUGAGGAGCGAAAAGCGUGGGGGAGCGAACAGG
rnacentral:rRNA from 1 species